AUGAUAGAGGUGCGGUAUUCAUCAGUAUUCCGGGACAAAUGGCAGGACAGCCGUUUUGGAAGAAAGGGAAGAUCGCCGAAGAGUUAUAUUCCGGUCCGUGGAAUUAGCUCUGGGACGCAGCAGAAUAUGCUGUGGACUGUCACUGACAUGUGGAGCGCUAUCUGA
rnacentral:ncRNA from 1 species